rnacentral:rRNA from 1 species
GGGGAAUAUUGCACAAUGGGCGCAAGCCUGAUGCAGCGACGCCGCGUGCGGGAUGACGGCCUUCGGGUUGUAAACCGCUUUUGAUCGGGAGCAAGCCUUCGGGUGAGUGUACCUUUCGAAUAAGCACCGGCUAACUACGUGCCAGCAGCCGCGGUAAAACGUAGGUCACAAGCGUUGUCCGGAAUUACUGGGUGUAAAGGGAGCGCAGGCGGGAAGACAAGUUGGAAGUGAAAUCUAUGGGCUCAACCCAUAAACUGCUUUCAAAACUGUUUUUCUUGAGUAGUGCAGAGGUAGGCGGAAUUCCCGGUGUAGCGGUGGAAUGCGUAGAUAUCGGGAGGAACACCAGUGGCGAAGGCGGCCUACUGGGCACCAACUGACGCUGAGGCUCGAAAGUGUGGGUAGCAAACAGGAUUAGAUACCCUGGUAGUCCACACCGUAAACGAUGAUUACUAGGUGUUGGGGGAUUGACCCCCUCAGUGCCGCAGUUAACACAAUAAGUAAUCCACCUGGGGAGUACGACCGCAAGGUUGAAACUCAAAGGAAUUGACGGGGGCCCGCACAAGCAGUGGAGUAUGUGGUUUAAUUCGACGCAACGCGAAGAACCUUACCAAGUCUUGACAUCCUGCGACGAUGCUGGAAACAGUAUUUUCCUUCGGGACGCAGAGACAGGUGGUGCAUGGUUGUCGUCAGCUCGUGUCGUGAGAUGUUGGGUUAAGUCCCGCAACGAGCGCAACCCUUACUGUCAGUUACUACGCAAGAGGACUCUGGCAGGACUGCCGUUGACAAAACGGAGGAAGGUGGGGAUGACGUCAAAUCAUCAUGCCCUUUAUGACUUGGGCUACACACGUACUACAAUGGCGUUAAACAAAGAGAAGCAAGACCGCGAGGUGGAGCAAAACUCAGAAACAACGUCCCAGUUCGGACUGCAGGCUGCAACUCGCCUGCACGAAGUCGGAAUUGCUAGUAAUCGUGGAUCAGCAUGCCACGGUGAAUACGUUCCCG